UUACCUAAAGAUAUCAACUUC
rnacentral:piRNA from 1 species